rnacentral:lncRNA from 1 species
UCCAGACACUAGGCAGCGGUAAACCAAAAAUCAGGCCCUAAUAAGGCCCAACUAACUACAAUACACAUAACAACAUACUAAGCAAGUUUUUAAGAAUCAUAAUACAUGAAUAACCGUAUUAUGGAUUUUAAAAUUUAUUUUACCAUUCAUGCUAACCAUAAAAUCUUAGAUUAUAAAACUACUUUCUAGCCUUAACAAUAAUUCCACUAAACAUGAUACUAACCACCACAAGAGGUCAAUUCUGAAAUUCACUCAAAGAUUCCCUCUAUAUUUAUGAUCAUGCUUAACAAUUCAAUACAUGGAUUUACAUCCGAGUACCCUUUGAAUAACAGUCCCAAUUAAUUAUAACUAAUAAGUGUAACAACUUUUUGAACACUCAUGAAUAAGCUAAAACAACUAAAAUGUUUAAAUCACCCAACUAUACUAAGUCUAGCAUCGGCAGUAAUAUAAUCAAGCUGAAGCAGUUUAAUGAACACUAGAAAAGAUGCAUAAGAAUCCCAUUCCAUAUCAGUAAUUUACAAGUCUAUUCUAUCACUUCAAGAUCAUGAAUAUACCUGGAACACCAAGAGAAAACCAACAGAAACUUCAGCAAAGAAAUCAAAAUAUCACUAGCUCCUUAGGAAGUAGUACACAAACAGUUAUCAGCCUUCUACCACCAUGUCUUGAACCAAGAAUGAGAACGGCAAUUUACUCAAACUUUUAAGACCCAAAAAAUCAAAAGAACAACUUCAAUGUAACAAUAUUUAGAUGAUUUAUUUUUGUAUUAUUCUUCUAAUUUUCGGACAUAUACCAGUGUAUAGUUUUAGUUAUUUCUAGCUCUAGGUAUUCUGAUCUAUGCCCUCAAAAUCAAAGAAAUGAGACCUUUAUAAAGAAGUUUUAGGACAGCAAAAUCUAAUUCUUAUCUUCACCAUUUACCCCUUCCCCAAUUUUUACUUUUUCACUUUAGACCCUGUAUUUUGAAUCUUCUUGUUAAAACCAACCUAUUUCCUACUUUCCUAGCAGCUUCCUAGGCAGUUAUAAAAGAUUCUUUCAGUGAAAAUACCCUAAAUACCCUUCAAAUGUCUGUUAUUUACAUUUAGAAAAACCACUAAUUGGGCUAGACCCCAGCAUGCUUGAACCCUUCCCCCUCAGAAGCCCAACUUCUGGUCCAAAAAUCACAACACAAAAACAAACAAACCAACGGAGUUUUGAAACUCCUAGCCUCAAAAUUCUAAAGAAGCAAAACAAAAGGAGAAUGGAGCAACAAGAAAUAAUGAACUCAAAGUACUAAAAAGAAACUGUAAACUACAUUAUUAGGCUAAUAUCCUUAUAAAUUAAUAUGACUUAAAUCAACCAUGCAAAUAGAAAUCAAUUUGAACUAAUAAAGAAGAAGAAAGAAACAAAAAUAAGAAAAAAGAAGAAACAAAAAUAGUAACUAAUUAACAAGGAGGAGAAAAGAAUAAGAAUAGACUGACUGACCAAACGGAAGCAAUAGCCAAAAUCGCACAUGAAUGAUAUGGCCACUAAAAUUGCUUAUGCCUGAAACUCAAUCUAACGAGCACCAUUUGUCAAGAUUACUUUGCCAAAGAAAGUUUUAGGCUUGGUGAGCAGAAACCUUCAUUACAAACCCAGCCCCGGAAUUAGGUUAAACUCUAUAUUGCAAAUUCGACAAACUCUAGGAUUCGUUUGGGAAAAUUGCCAAGAGUUUCGGGUUUUGGGGAAGGCUGGGGACUGUAGGAUGUUAAUUUGGGUGGGUUUGGGUAAAUUAGGGUUUUGGGAUCCAAUUUUGGAUCUGAAAUUCGGGCAACUUGGUGAUGGUUUGAAGGAAAGGUUUUGGGGGUGGCAGGCUCUAUGCUUUCUUGCUAUUUGAGUUGAAUAUAGGAGGUAGGGAUUGGACUUCCUACAUUUAAAUACAAGUGAAAGACCCAGUUCUCAACCGUUCGAUGAGUGGAAGUCAAUGACUUGGAUAAAAAGUCACAAAACGACGUCGUUUGGUUAGGAUUGGGGACUAAACGGGGUACUUAG